GUGCCAGCAGCCGCGGUAAUUCCAGCUCCAAUAGCGUAUAUUAAAGUUGUUGUGGUUAAAAAGCUCGUAGUUGAACCUUGGGCCUGGCUGGCCGGUCCGCCUCACCGCGUGCACUGGUCCGGCCGGGCCUUUCCCUCUGUGGAACCCCAUACCCUUCACUGGGCGUGGCGGGGAAACAGGACAUUUACUUUGAAAAAAUUAGAGUGCUCCAGGCAGGCCUAUGCUCGAAUACAUUAGCAUGGAAUAAUAAAAUAGGACGCGCGGUUCUAUUUUGUUGGUUUAUAGGACCGCCGUAAUGAUUAAUAGGGACAGUCGGGGGCAUCAGUAUUCAACUGUCAGAGGUGAAAUUCUUGGAUCAGUUGAAGACUAACUACUGCGAAAGCAUUUGCCAAGGAUGUUUUCAUUAAUCAGGAACGAAAGUUAGGGGAUCGAAGACGAUCAGAUACCGUCGUAGUCUUAACCAUAAACUAUGCCGACUAGGGAUCGGACGGUGUUAUUCAUGACCCGUUCGGCACCUUACGAGAAAUCAAAGUGCUUGGGCUCCAGGGGGAGUAUGGUCGCAAGGCUGAAACUUAAAGAAAUUGACGGAAGGGCACCACCAGGGGUGGAGCCUGCGGCUUAAUUUGACUCAACACGGGGAAACUCACCAGGUCCAGACACAAUAAGGAUUGACAGAUUGAGAGCUCUUUCUUGAUUUUGUGGGUGGUGGUGCAUGGCCGUUCUUAGUUGGUGGGGUGACUUGUCUGCUUAAUUGCGAUAACGAACGAGACCUUAACCUGCUAAAUAGCCCGCAUUGCUCCGGCAGUGCGCUGGCUUCUUAGAGGGAACU
rnacentral:rRNA from 1 species